GCCCUGAAGGCAUGGGGGGCUCGUCACCCCCUCCAAGGCUGUCCCCGCUCUCGGGCCGCCGCGGUCACUGCAGCUUCGGACAGCGGCCGGGUAGGACGGCUCCGAGAAUGAAAAUGUGGUUCUUUGCGUGGGUGGUCUCGUUGAUCCUUGGAACUGUGCAAUGCCAGCAGGCCACAGGGAAGCUGACAACUGUGGAUCCUGAAGCAUUUAUGAAUGUGGUAAGUGUUCAAAGUUACCUGCUUUUAAAAUGCCUUUGUGACAAGCGUUAUUUCCUAAA
rnacentral:lncRNA from 1 species